rnacentral:rRNA from 1 species
AUUGAACGCUGGCGGCAGGCCUAACACAUGCAAGUCGAGCGGAUGACGGGAGCUUGCUCCUGGAUUCAGCGGCGGACGGGUGAGUAAUGCCUAGGAAUCUGCCUGGUAGUGGGGGACAACGUUUCGAAAGGAACGCUAAUACCGCAUACGUCCUACGGGAGAAAGCAGGGGACCUUCGGGCCUUGCGCUAUCAGAUGAGCCUAGGUCGGAUUAGCUAGUUGGUGAGGUAAUGGCUCACCAAGGCGACGAUCCGUAACUGGUCUGAGAGGAUGAUCAGUCACACUGGAACUGAGACACGGUCCAGACUCCUACGGGAGGCAGCAGUGGGGAAUAUUGGACAAUGGGCGAAAGCCUGACCCAGCCAUGCCGCGUGUGUGAAGAAGGUCUUCGGUUUGUAAAGCACUUUAAGUUGGGAGGAAGGGCAGUAAGCGAAUACCUUGCUGUUUUGACGUUACCGACAGAAUAAGCACCGGCUAACUCUGUGCCAGCCGCCGCCGUAACAC